CGUGCGGUGAAACGGGGUACUGCACUCUUGGAGUUCAGGCGAUCACAUCCAAACUAGCAUUACCUAGAGAAGCCCAGGUGAAGGUGACGUUCUCUGAGUACCGUAUCAACGUUUUUGGACCAGUUACUUUCGGUCGUGACACUUAAAGAAUAAUAACUAUAACAACUCUGAGGUUUUAAAUCAGUCGUUGUGUGACCCGCUACCAAAAAGUUAAAAGUUUAGCAACGUCUUUCAAAUGAACGGUCGUCACGGUGACGGUUGUAAGCUAGCUAACGUCAGUUAAACGCUAGUUGUAAGCUAGCUAGUUUUACAGUAUUGCUAGUUAUGGCAGCAGCUACGGUUUAAUAUCUAAUAUUGAUAUUGGCCACAACCCCCCCAAUGGAGGAUUUGAGGAAGACAUCCAUCUUUAAAUAGCAUUGCCCCCAAAAUGGCUGGUGGAUGACUUCUGGGUCCUGGCAGUGACUCUAGAUUUUGAGAUUUGACUGGGAAUUGCAAGAAAGGAAAGAUGCCGUACCGACUAUACACAACGUCCAAACAUGCAAUUUACCAUCUGCACUGAGAGACACGUUUGACAACGCUUCAUUUUACAGCUGCACAACUUCCAUGGUUUGGACGACGGACUUGGUUUCAGCGAGGCUGCUCACAGACGGACGUCCGGCCCGUCAUCUCUCUGAGACACUCUGGUCACACAAAGCUCCAGAGGAAAAGAAGACGAGCACCAGCCGGCAGGUCGGGAGGGACUGCAGCAGGUGAACAGCGCAGGGAACACAUGGAUAACAUCUCUCCUGCAUCUGCUCGCUGAAAGCUUCCAUCUGCCUUGGCAACAACAGAGACAAUCGGUGGGAGGGAGAGACGGGAAGAACGCACACAACGCUACACAAAAGGAAAAAUAAAGUUGAAGAAUAAAGUGUGGAGGUGUGGGAGAAGACAACAAGAGGAGGUGGAAGAGGAACUGAUACACAUCAGAUCUCACAAGUGUUUUUUUCUGCAUUUUUCUGUGGAUCUGCACUCAAACGCUGGAGCCUCAUCACACAAACACAAACAGGUUAUUUCAGCUGCCGUUGUGUCUCUGAGUGAAUUCAAACCUUCAGGGCGAGUCGUGACGCUUCCUGUGUGCUGAACUUUCUCACAAACGCAGAUCAGAUGUCGUUUGGCUCUGAUCCGAUCACAUUCAUGAAUCAAAUCGGUGCGUGCUGUGAGUGUUUACACUUUGCGUGAACUCCGUCUCCACGUAAGACAUUAAGAUUUAUAUCACAUUAUAACAGUUGGGCUGAAUGCACUGAGAUUACCUUUGACUGUGACGGAGACUUUAAGGAGAACAAACUUCAUACCUACAUGAACUCUACAGGCAGGACUGAAAGCAGCUGUAUGGAUUAUUCUCCCAGAUAAAUCGAGGAAUUGUUUGUCUAUAAAAUGCCAGUAAUUGUACCAGACACCUUCUUCUGGCCCUCAUACGUCAUGAUGGCACCUGGGCGCUUGUCAAUAAAGCAGAACUGGCCCAUAUCUGCGCCAGAUCCUGCCCGCCACAAUACGACUGUGGCCCACAUUUGGACCCGUUCAGGUUCAAUCAGUUCGCUCUUGGCUGACCUGCUGUGGCCUGUUCGUGGCUCAGAUCUGACAAACAAGAUGCCCGAUGAUCCUGCACCGUACGUGGGCCAGGAGAACCAAUCUGGUAUCUGAGAGGUGACGUUUUCAGAUUCCUUUUUGUGUCCAAUCAGCUGUCCAUAAAGCAAAGACUCUUCAUUUACAAUAUGAAUGACAAAGAAACACAUCAGAUCUUUACACUUAAUGAACUGGAACCAGCAAAUGUUUGACAUUUUUCCUCUUUUUUGAGAAAGAGUCACUAGAGGGGUCUGAAUAAUCAUUACAUCCAGCGAGAGGCAUUCUCACCAACAGCCAGUUUACACAGACUGGAGUGAAACCUUUCAGCUCCAUGACGGCUCGGAGGAGGACCGGACACAGAACUGGUCCUCCAGUCAUGUUGCUCCAGUAUGAAAAUCCAGAGAACAUCUUCAUCUUCUAUGGACAGCUCAGGGGUCCAACUGUCCAAGUCUCUGUAUUUUUUUCUAGUUAUUAAUUAGAAUCCUGUAGAUGAUUCAAUCGGUACUAGACACCAGCUCCAGAUCCAACAAUCAGAACAACAGAUUUAGUUCACAUAACUCUGUUAAUAAAACAGCUCAGGAUAGAUAACUGUUCUGUUUUGAUUGUAUCUAGGGUGAAAGACUUGUUUCUUUUAUUUAUCUUGUCUCUUUGUUGGACGUCUCUCUGGAAACUUCACGAUUCCCGACAGAAACCUGGAACACAUUGAGUCCAAAUGAUCUGCCAGCAGAUGAAAAAUGGCCGCUUGGGGUUUAUAAAAGAUGACUGGGAUGGUAAAAAUACUGCAGAGUGGGACACUCCUUCAUAUGUUCCUCUGUGUGUGUGUAAAAUGUUAGUGAGCACCUGCUGACUGAGUUAUGGAAGCUGACAAAUAAUACAAACAUGUUUUUACUUUAUUUGGCAAGAGAAGUUGUUAGAUUAAUAGAAAAUCACAAAAAAAUCACAAAAAUGGCAACAAAAACUCUUAGGAACUUUAAGUAACCUCGCCCACAGAUCCUGUGGUCACUGAAAAUGUUAUCGGUACGUUUCUGUCAGCUGUUACUGCGACUGAUGAAUGAACAGCUGAUGAACAACCAUCCUCACAUGGUUAACUGUUAAUGUUAGUAUUGAUAUAAACAAUAUAUGUGUGUUGCUGAAACAUUGUUUGACACAAAGAGUGUACGAGAUUCAACAUGUUACAGUUUUUACUCGUUCUGCCAGACUCACCUCACUCUCAGGGCAAACGAUGACGGUACAAACAGCACAUUUAUAUAUUUCUUUAUUCAAACUCUUUUUAUGGUUAGUAAACAAGCAAAACUAAAACUUAAAGUUAUUUACAGUCUGCAACUCUCCUCUCGUUAGAUAGAACUGAAGAAUACAUUUGGAUGAGCGGUGAAACAUUUCCAGGAAACUGAAUCGAAUCCAGUUGCUGAUACAGCAAUUAGGAUUACCACCGAGAACCUUCAUCAACAUAUUUUAAAGGAUUUUAAUGUAACUGCUUUUUUUUUUAUAUAUAUAUAAUCUUUUUAAAGCAUUUUCUCAAUAAUGCACUGUAGCUUUUUCAAUUUAAAUAUCCUUAUUUAUUCAUGUUGCCACUGUUUUCAGGCUCCAUCAGCUGCGUCCAGCGUCACCUAGAUAUAAGUGGAAUGAACUGUCAGUUUUUAGAAUCAGCUUUGAUAUGGUGUAAAAAAAAUAAAAAAAAAAAGAAUUACAUAACAUCAACAUAAGCCUGGAUCAAUGUCAUAAAGGCCUCAAAAUAGGACACGUCCUGGGCCUGAACAUAUGUUGCCUUCACGGUGAAUUUGAUGGCAGUCGGAGUCAGAGGAGUGAUGACCUCACAUCCGUGUCAUCAGGGACCCUCUACAUGGUCAAACACGAACAGACGUGUGAGUGUGUGAAAGUGUCUUUGAGAUCUGAAUCGUUGUAUAACAGGAUUCACCAUCAUCCACAGAUGCAAAGGAAAAGAAAUGCGCUUAUUUUGUUUCUUGCUUUUGUACAGAUCGAACAAACGAGACAAAACGUGUUCACUUCAGAGCUUUAGUUGAAUUUACAUUCAGAUCUUUGACUGUAUGAAAUAGCGACGGACCUUUAAGGUCUGAAAAGUGAAGCCAAUGCUGAAGUGAACAUCAUUAAUUCUACUGACCAGCAGGGGGCAGUACCACUGGUUGCAGAAAAAAGUUUGAUAGUUUAAAAGCUCAUGAGAAAAUGAUCUUACUUCUCACCUGAUAUAUAACCUCAGUAAACAGACUCCAAACGAGUUUUUGGUCUCGAUCUCUACUUUUACAUCUUCUUCACUACAGCAUGAUGUUCAUUUUGUAAAUUAUGGCUACGUUUAGCGUACAGUAGUCAAUACAGGUGAUGCUUAAGGGUGUCGCUGGAGACGUAGUCACUUCUGGCCCCAAAAAUCUAAGAUGGUGACGGCCAUGAUGACAAAAAAUGUCCACAAACAAAUCGGCGACAUCACAGUUGGUUUGCGGUUUCCGGUUUCCUCCUGUUUACAGUCUUUAUGCUAAGCUAAACUAACCGGCUGCUAGCUGUAUCAGUAUAUGAUGACCUGGGAAUGAGACUCAACAGUCGACCAUGUUUCUCCUGGAAGUCACAUUUUACUACUUUAUUAUAAACAACUUUACACAGAGAGAGACUGUACUGAUAGAGAACAUUAAACCCAAACAUCUCCCAAACAUUAAAAUCUGCUACCUGUCCUGGCCUAUGUAAUGUAUUUCCACAGGUAUUUUCAGGAGCUCUCGUGUUGGUCCAGCAGACAUCACGUGCACUCACAUACUUUUCUACGCAGAAAUACGUCCAAACAGACGGACAGCGAGUCUCCCUGCUCAGCACUAAUGGCCUGUCUGUUUACAAGCUAACUGACGUGGAUGUAAGAGGUUUCAAGUGGGAACCUCCACACACACACACACACACACACACACACACACACACACCGCCCCUCUCUCCUGCUGUAAAAGUAUUUACUGCCUGUAGACAAGUCGUAUUUAUGAAAAGUUUCCCUCGUAGAAGUCACGCAAAUCCAAACAAGCUGCGACUGAUAACAUGUUUGUGUUCUCGGUUCUCUUGGUGUCC